AUGAACACUAUGAACUAAUCCUAGCCCUAACAAAAAUAAAUUCAAUUAUAUAAUUUUAUAAAACAAAACAUUUAGUUAACUAAAUUAAAGUAUUGGAGAAAGAAAUAUAAUUUAGGAGCCAUAGACAAAGUACCGUAAGGAAAGAUGAAAGAUUAAUUAAAAGUACAAAUAAGCAAAGAUUAAACCUUGUACCUUUUGCAUAAUGAAUUAACUAGAAAUACUCUAACUAAAAGAAUUUAAGCUAGAAA
rnacentral:rRNA from 1 species